CAUACGGGUGGCUGCAGUGGGGAAUAUUGCACAAUGGCGGAAACCCUGAUGCAGCGACGCCGCGUGAGUGAAGAAGUAUUUCGGUACGUAAAGCUCUAUCAGCCGGGAAGAAAAAAAGUCCUUUGGACUUUGGACGGUACCUGACUAAGAAGCCCCGGCUAAAUACGUGCCAGCAGCCGCGGUAAUAAGUAGGGGGCAAGCGUUAUCCGGAUUUACUGGGUGUAAAGGGAGCGUAGGCGGCAGCGCAAGUCUGGAGGGAAAUGCCGGGGCCCAACCCCGGAACUGCUUUGGAAACUGUGCAGCUGGAGUGCAGGAAGGGUAAGCGGAAUUCCUGGUGUAGCGGUGAAAUGCGUAGAUAUUAGGAGGAACUCCAGUGGCGAAGGCAGCUUACUGGACUGUAACUGACGUUGAGGCUCGAAAGCGUGGGGAGCAAACAGGAUUAGAUACCCGUGUAGUC
rnacentral:rRNA from 1 species